rnacentral:rRNA from 1 species
UCCCACCGCAAGGGUAAGACCCCAGAAAGACUAUCUGGUUGAUAGGUCGAAGGUGUAAGUGCAGCAAUGUAUUUAGCUUAUCGAUACUAAUAGGUCGAGGACUUGACCAAUAUUUAUU